GAUCCUGGCUCAGGAUGAACGCUGGCGGCGUGCCUAACACAUGCAAGUCGAACAAAGCAAUUGAAGGAAGUUUUCGGAUGGAAUUUAAUUGACUGAGUGGCGGACGGGUGAGUAACGCGUGGAUAACCUGCCUCACACUGGGGGAUAACAGUUAGAAAUGACUGCUAAUACCGCAUAAGCGCACAGUGCCGCAUGGUACGGUGUGAAAAACUCCGGUGGUGUGAGAUGGAUCCGCGU
rnacentral:rRNA from 1 species